rnacentral:rRNA from 1 species
GUAUUUUGACUAUACGAAGGUAUUGAAAUAAGGCUUUAAAUGAGUGCUAAGAGAAUGGUUGAACAAUUAUAGGCUUUCUUUAAUUAAUAAAUUGAAGUUAAUUUUUUUGUGAAGAAGCAAAAAUGAAUAUUAGGGACAAGAAGACCCUAUGAAUUUUAAAAUUAAAAAAGGAGAUUAAUAAAUAACUUUUUAAUUUUAAUUGGGGUGAUAAGAAAAGAAUAGUUAUCUUUUUUUUAUGAGUUAAUUUGACCCAUUAAUAAUGAUUAAAUGAUUAAAAUACUCUAGCAUAACAGCGUAAUAAUUUUGGAUAGUUCAUAUAGAUCAGUCAUUGCGACCUCGAUGUUGGAUUAGGAUACUUUAUUGGUGGAGA